GAGUUUGAUCAUGGCUCAGAACGAACGCUGGCGGCGUGCCUAACACAUGCAAGUCGAGCGCGAAAGUUCCUUCGGGAAUGAGUAGAGCGGCGCACGGGUGAGUAACACGUGGAUAAUCUGCCCUUAGAUCUGGAAUAACCCAGGGAAACUUGAGCUAAUACUGGAUAAGACCACAUAACGAGAGUUGUGUGGGAAAAGCAGGGGACCUCUUCGGAGACCUUGCGUCUAUGGAUGAGUCCGCGGCCCAUCAGCUAGUUGGCGGGGUAAAGGCCCACCAAGGCGAAGACGGGUAGCUGGUCUGAGAGGAUGACCAGCCACACUGGAACUGAGACACGGUCCAGACUCCUACGGGAGGCAGCAGUGGGGAAUAUUGCGCAAUGGGCGAAAGCCUGACGCAGCAACGCCGCGUGAGUGAUGAAGGUCUUCGGAUCGUAAAGCUCUGUCGGCAGGAAAGACGGAUUCAUUGGCUAAUAUCCAAAGAAUUUGACGGUACCUGCAAAGGAAGCACCGG
rnacentral:rRNA from 1 species